CCCGCUGAACUUAAGCAUAUCAAUAAGCGGAGGAAAAGAAACCAACAGGGAUUGCCCUAGUAACGGCGAGUGAAGCGGCAACAGCUCAAAUUUGAAAUCUGGCCCUCGGGUCCGAGUUGUAAUUCGUAGAGGAUGCUGCUGGCGCGGUGCCUUCCGAGUUCCCUGGAGACGGGACGCCUUAGAGGGUGAGAGCCCCGUACGGUUGGACACCAAGCCUCUGUAAAGCUCCUUCGACGAGUCGAGUAGUUUGGGAAUGCUGCUCUAAAUGGGAGGUAAAUUUCUUCUAAAGCUAAAUAUGGGCCAGAGACCGAUAGCGCACAAGUAGAGUGAUCGAAAGAUGAAAAGCACUUUGAAAAGAGGGUUAAAUAGCACGUGAAAUUGUUGAAAGGGAAGCGUUUGCGACCAGACUUUUUCCUAGCGGAUCAUCCGGUGUUAUCACCGGUGCACUUUGCUAGGUCAAGGCCAGCAUCGGUUUCCGUAGGGGGAUAAAAGCUUGGGGAAUGUAGCUCCCUCGGGAGUGUUAUAGCCCCUCGCAUAAUACCCUUAUGGGGACCGAGGACCGCGCUUUUUGCAAGGAUGCUGGCGUAAUGGUUGUCAACGACCCGUCUUGAAACACGG
rnacentral:rRNA from 1 species